UACGUAGGGUGCAAGCGUUAUCCGGAAUUAUUGGGCGUAAAGAGCUCGUAGGCGGUUUGUCGCGUCUGCUGUGAAAACCCGAGGCUCAACCUCGGGCCUGCAGUGGGUACGGGCAGACUAGAGUGCGGUAGGGGAGAUUGGAAUUCCUGGUGUAGCGGUGGAAUGCGCAGAUAUCAGGAGGAACACCUAUGGCGAAGGCAGCUCGCUGGGACGUUACUGACGCUGAGACGCGAAAGCGUGGGGAGCAAACAGG
rnacentral:rRNA from 1 species